GACGAACGCUGGCGGCGUGCUUAACACAUGCAAGUGGAGCGACGAACCAGGCUUCGGCCUGGGGCAGAGCCGCGAACGGGUGAGUAACACGUGGGUAACCUGCCUCGAUGACCGGGACAACCCGAGGAAACUCUGGCUAAUACCGGAUGUGCUCUCCCCGCACAAGCGGGGAAUGGAAAGGAAGCUUCGGCCUCCGCAUCGAGAUGGGCCCGCGGCCCAUUAGCUUGUUGGUGAGGUAACGGCUCACCAAGGCUGCGAUGGGUAGCUGGUCUGAGAGGACGAUCAGCCACACUGGGACUGAGACACGGCCCAGACUCCUACGGGAGGCAGCAGUGGGGAAUCUUGCGCAAUGCGCGAAAGCGUGACGCAGCAACGCCGCGUGGGGGAAGAAGGCCUUCGGGUUGUAAACCCCUUUCAGGAGGGACGAAGCCCGGGCGGUGAAUAGCCGACUCGGGUGACGGUACCUCCACAAGAAGCCCCGGCUAACUACGUGCCAGCCGCCGCGGUAAAAC
rnacentral:rRNA from 1 species